GACCGGCGCGACGGGUGAGUAACGCGUACUACCAACCUCGGCCCUUAGGUAGGGAACACGGCCCGGACGAAAGUCGGAUUAAUGCCCUAUGUUUUUCCAAUGAUGGCAUCUGACUUGGAACAAAGAUUCAUCGCUAAGGGAUGGGGAUGCGUCUGAUUAGCUUGUCGGCGGGGUAACGGCCCACCGAGGCGACGAUCAGUAGGGGUUCUGAGAGGAAGGUCCCCCACCAUUGGUACUGAGACACGGACCAAACUCCUACGGGAGGCAGCAGUGAGGAAUAUUGGUCAAUGGGCGUAAGCCUGAACCAGCCAAGUAGCGUGCAAGGAUGACUGCCCUAUGGGUUGUAAACUGCUUUUAUUGCGGGAAUAAAGUCAGGUACGCGUACCUGUUUGUAUGUACCGCAUGAAUAAGGACCGGCUAAUUCCGUGCCAGCCGCGGC
rnacentral:rRNA from 1 species